GAGGGUGUAGCUCAGUGGUAGAGCACAUGCCUAGCAUGCAUGAGGUCCUGGGUUCAAUCCCCAGUACCUCCA
rnacentral:tRNA from 1 species